AUUGAACGCUGGCGGCAUGCCUUACACAUGCAAGUCGAACGGCAGCACGGGAGCAAUCCUCGUGGCGAGUGGCGAACGGGCGAGUAAAGUAUCGGAACGUGCCCAGUCGCGGGGGAUAAAGUAGCGAAAGUUACGCUAAUAACGCAUACGCACUAUGGAUGAAAGCGGGGGAUCGGAAGACCUCGCACGAGUGGAGCGGCGGACAUCAGAUUAGGGAGUUGGUGAGGUAAAGGCUCACCAAGCCGACGAUCUGUCGCUGGUCUGAGAGGACGACCAGCCACACUGGGACUGAGACACGGCCCAGACUCCUACGGGAGGCAGCAGUGGGGAAUUUUGAACAAUGGGCGAAAGCCUGAUCCAGCCAUGCCGCGUGCAGGAUGAAGGCCUUCGGGUUGUAAACUGCUUUUGUACGGAACGAAAAGGUUUGGGCUAAUAAGCUGAGCUCAUGACGGUACCGUAAGAAUAAGCACCGGCUAACUACGUGCCAGCCGCCGCCGUAA
rnacentral:rRNA from 1 species